rnacentral:misc_RNA from 1 species
GGGUAGGGUUCUAAAUAUCUUUCAAAUUUUAUUUACUACACUUAUAUGCUGAAGCACAAAGACUUCUUCAAAUUUGAGGCAUCUUGGUCUUAUUCUUCCCCAAAGAUCAACUAUGAGAAAAUUUGCAACAGAUAUUUGGAAAAUUUGAACAGUGUUAUUUAUUAACAUGCGUGUCUAAGUUAUUGUGUAUGCACGUGUAACAGCAAGGCUUCUAUUAAACAUUGGACUUAAAAGACUGAAAAUAACUCAAGGUCAAGUUAUUUAAGUAUGUGUAUUAAAGAUUCAGUGUGUUUUAAUAUUCAUUGAUGUGCUUUAAGUAUUCAAAAGAAUUAUGGUGCUCUGAUGGGUGAUUGUGGUGAGGAAAAAUUAAAAAUGAGUUAUAAAACAAUUAUUCUGUGGCACUAUUGUUUAAACUUCGUUGUUCUACUUGCAUAUUGGCUAAGCAUGAAAUUAAAGUCAAAAUGUGAUAUAUCUUGAAAGUGG